GCCGCGUUGGCGUAGUGGUAGCGCGUCCCACUUGUAACAGCUUGGUUAUCAAGCAAGUUCAUGGGAAGGUCAUUCGUUCAAUCCGGGUACGUGGCA